AGCUUCGCACAGUGGUAGUACCGUAGCCAAUGAGGUUUAUCUGAGGCGCGAUUAUUGCUAAUUGAAAACUUUUCUCAAAUUCAUAAGACAGUAAUGGACUAUUUUAUAAGAUUGCCCUGGGAAAAUUUCCAUCAAUAUGAAAAAGUA